UCCAUUAUAGGCUAAAUUUAUACCAAAAGCAAAUUUACCACAAAGGAAACAUCUCAAAAAGCAGUAUGUAGUAAACACUUACUAAUGGUUCAGUACAAAACAUCAAGGUCCAUCACACUCCAUUGACAGAUUUCAUAUGAAAUGUACAUACCAAAUCACUUGUUGUAACAAAUAUACAAAUAUACUCUGAACAACCUGGCCCUCAACUUUCGCUUCUUUCUCCAAGUAUAAGUAUAUUGGAAUUCCAAAAAGCAGUCUUGGUAUGCAGUCCAGCGCUCAGACCCAAACCAAAAGGAAUGUUACAGUUCACUACCAUAGAAAGAUAGAUAGUCCAGAUGGUGUUGUACACAAGUGAACCCCUAACAAAGCAAUGUUCUACAUUUCUUGGGUAUCAUCUUCACACCUCCAACAGAUGGUGUCGCACACAAGUGAACCCCUAAAAAAGCCUUAAGUUUAAGUAUAUUGGCAAACCCUAUCAAAAAAGUAAUUUUUCUCUACCUCUUUCAGAUUGGGAGAAUCAUGACAGAGAGGCAUGAGACUACAAACAGUGGCAUUGGUAAAUAGGCAAAGCAUAUGAUAUCUGAAUGGGAAAAAUUAAUUAUGUCUAUUUGAAAUGCUAUAAGUACAUAAUGGUCAGGGACAAAAGAAAACCAGUGAGCACAGAAACAUGCAUCAGGUCCUUCAGAUUCACAUGAGAAAGAAAACCGCAUGAUUUUAUCUUGACCACGAAACAAUCUACACAAUGUAAAAGUGAUGAUACCAACUCCAUUACUUACCUAAUAGCAGUAAGAAAUUGGAUAACGCAAGUGCAUGAUCACAUCUCAUCAUUAUAAGUGGAUGACAAUAAUAACAAUUAUAAUACAUGGGUUGCAAGAGUAGAGAACACUUAUUGUAUACGAAGGCACACCAUUCUCUACCACAAAAGGAGGGAAGCGCGCCUUGGCGCGUGUUGCACGGCCCAAGUGCAAGAUCCAAAACAGUAUAGUAACUCAAAGCUCAACACAUCAAGUUUGGCAAAAAGGAAUGGAUCAAAAGCUAUGCAGUAUGAUAAAUCUGAAUUAGAGCAAAUCAUCUAUAUAGAAAGCAACACACUCCACAUGUCAUUAAUAAUAAUUAGAUCAAGUCAUUUGUAUGAAGUCUGAGUACUGCAUUAAAGGGUAGCUGUACAGUACAGAAAACAUAUCACAUUGCUCUGGAGCAGAGCGCUUAGUUCGUGCCGCCUUUUUUCAUAUCGAUGUAAAAUUGAUUAGUCUUUGAAGCUGAGCGCUUAGUUCAUGCAUUUCUUUCAUGAUGCAUAUACCAUAAGAAAAAUACAAAAUUCUAUCCUCUUAUAAAAUUCUACCUUAAAAAAGAUCAAAACAAUCCAAGUUUUAUUAGGACAUGCAAUGGUCAACCAGGACAAAGCAGCAAUGAAACAAUUAUUGUCAGCUAACUCUAAUGUAAUUUGACCGUAUGGUAAAUCAUAUUUUUGUUCCAAUGGUCUUGCUUUACCUCUCGCGGUCAGUGUUGUAAAGCUCGAAUGAUUUUAGGGCUAUCCUUAUAGACACCAGUGCAACUGAUUUUAAUCAAGCAUACAUUCAAAUCAAGCGCAUCCAAAAUGAAAGAUAUAAACUAUUAUAUUGCUUUAAGAUACAAUUUUUAUAUCAUUCAGCUCUGUAAAAUUGCACAACCACAAAAUUUGCAAACAGGAGGAGGUGAGUAGAGCCAUGAGUACCAUUUUGGUUUACAUAGAAAAUUAGGAAUUUGCAAACAGGAAAAGGUUUAUCUUUGCAUAUCAGCAUGGUUAUAUAUCAGUACUACUAUUUGUCCAUAUCAGGAGAUUUGCUGCUGGGAUUAAGCCGGACUAAUGUUGGUUGUUGCUAAAUCUUGCUGCCAUUCAUACAAUUUCAGUGCAAGUACAAGCAGCCAAGCACACACACGUCACACUUUAGCAGAGCAAGCGGAAAGGUAGAGAAAAAAGAACGAAGAGGCUACCUGCAGGCUGCAAUAGUUGGAGCAUGGAGGCAGCUGUCGAAAUGCAUGAGUUUUCACAACACCAGAGCAGGGCCGAGAAGAUCCUGGCUCAGGCAGAGCGAACCCAACGACAGAUGACGGAUACUGAAAGUCUACAAAACGACUGGCCAUACAAAGGUGGCCACAUGUAUUCCUUCAAGUCCGCCUUGACCUGAACAUCAGAAAUCACCAAAAUCAAACAAACAUCACAGAAAGGUGCUCUGAACCCAAAUCGCUUCUUCAUAAACAUGGAGAAACAUCGGUGAACAGAGCAAUCUUACGUCAUACAAAAAAUAAAUUAAGAUAUUACAAGCAAGAACACCAGAUAAGAGUGCUAUAAAGUGCAGCAAGUUAACAAAAUUUGGUUCAGAAUAUAUGCUAGAAAAAUAGACAUGUACCAUGAGAAGGAAAAAGCCAAACCUAAUAAGAUGAUUGAUCAUUUCCAAAGAAGCAUAUAUUGACCUUAGAAUAGGGUUGAUCCUUCUUGAUUAUGAACCUAUCAGCACACCAUAUCAAUUCUUGCUACGCAAUGUACCUCUAUAGCAGUCUACACUGCAAUAAAAGAAGAUCUAAGUAAGUGCACAUUAUGCUCUUAGUUAGAGCAUAAAGGAAUAUUCAAUUGCAACUAUAAGUUUUAUCUCAUAAGGCAACAAAGUGAGCAGUAAAAUAAUACAAAGCUAGGAAAGGAACAGAAGUCGAUGCUAGGUCAAUAUCAUAAUUUUAAUUUUGUUGUGUAGCAUUACUUGGAAAGAGAAGUAUAGAAGAGCAUUUAUCUAGCCUAACCACGAGUGAAGGAAAGCUGUAAAUCUGUAAGGUAGUCAAAAAACAGCAUCGAUCUUGAUUUAAAGAUCUGCUUCAUCCAUGACACAUCUAUAUCCAGUCAUAAUGUACAACAAAAUGGUAUGGAAGAUGAGUUUUACAUGUUUUCAUGUCCACUGAUUAUGAAUAGAAAUGCCUUACAGUCAUCGUCAGGGUAUGCGUUACCACAAGACAAAUAAAAAGGAUACAAUCUGAAACUAAGUACAUAAAGAAGGCAGAUGGACCAGCCAAACCCCUUAACUUGUAAACUGAAAAUCUCUAUGUUCUCAACUGAUGGUUUGAGAUAAUCAAUCAACCAUCAGUCCUUAUCCAACAAAUAUAAGAUGCAAAAGAUUUGCAGGCAAGCACAAAGAGACCAUCUUAUUCAACAACUUGUCGAUUUAGAUGCAACAGCACUGUCCUCGUGAGCUCAUAUAAAAUUACAGAGAUCUUUAUCAAGGAUAUACAUGUGCAUUUCAUCUCCUUUACAAUCUGAACAUAUAAAGAGAAGAAACAAUGAAUAAAUGUCAAGUAUUAAAAGAAUGAGGUGAAAAACUGAAGAGAAGAUGAGCGUGUGUCACACUAUUGCAUACAGGAAAGACAGACAUUCUCAUUUACUGUGGAUAUGCUUGGAAGGAAUAGUGUGACCUUUUCAGAAGGAAAAUGCGUCUGAAAUACGCUUCAGAACCCACAGGUAUUGGCAGACACUAAACAUACGUAUCAAGCAAAGUUUUUAAAUAGCCCGCUAAGCCUCUAGAGGCGGCUCAGCCAAAAGCUAUGAAAUGCUAUAGCGCAACUAUAGCGUGUUAAGCGCCCCAUUUAGCGUUUCAUCAUAAAUCCAUAAAAAGUAUAAAAAAUAAACAUACAAUUAGGCAUCAAAUAUAACAUAUACAUGCAGAUAACCAAAUAAUCACUAAUCAGGCAUAAUAUAGAUCAUGUAACUGGCACAGAACCAGGUUUAGGACAUAGUCCAUCUCAAAUAUUCUAAACAGAACAUAUCCUAGUACUACUCUUACACCAAAUUCCAUUAGCAAUGGCAUCAUACAAUUAUAUUCGUACACAAAAUCCCGAGGGCAUCUAGAGCCAGCGCAAAAGCCAAAGGAAAAGGGGUAAAGUGGAGAGGGCGCUCACCACGGCCUUGUGGGCGUCGUCGCCGAUACCUUCCAAGCUCCCGGAGGCGUCAGCAGCGGCGUUGAGGCCUGAGGACGAGGGAGAAGGGGUGGCCGGUGGUUCCUGCACUCCUCCUGUCGAGCAACCUGAGAGAGGGAGGGAGGAAUCUGAGUGUUGAGAAGGCAAGGCGCCCACGGUGCGGCAGGGCAAAUCAGAUGAUGGAAUGAAGCUGAAAUCAUAGUAGAAGCGUUACAUUCAAAUCCAUGCAUAACCAGUCUGUCAUAGAAAAUGCAGCCUGCUCCAAAUCCUUCAAUAUCCAAUAACAUAUCUAGCCUGCUCCAAAGGCUAGUCCUCUCCAUCUCAAAUGUAGC
rnacentral:lncRNA from 1 species